rnacentral:sRNA from 1 species
AUAUCUCUCUGUACGGGAAGGAUGAGAAGCUUCGACUAAGGUUCGAUUCGAGCGCAGCGAGAAAGCGUUGCCGUAGGCAACGACCCGAAGGGCGAAGCGCGCAGCGCUGAGUCAUCCUCCCCCCACCACCA